UACGGAGGAUGCAAGCGUUAUCCGGAAUUAUUGGGCGUAAAGCGUCCGUAGGUGGCUAAAUAAGUCUUUUGUCAAAGCGUGCGGCUCAACCGCAUACGGGCAGGAGAAACUAUUGAGCUAGAGUGCGAUAGGGGUUACAGGAAUUCCCAGUGUAGCGGUGAAAUGCGUAGAUAUUGGGAAGAACACCAGCGGCGAAAGCGUGUGACUGGGUCUGCACUGACACUGAGGGACGAAAGCUAGGGGAGCGAAAGGGAUUAGAUACCCCUGUAGUCCUAGCCGUAAACGACGACAACUAGGCGUGGUUCGUAUCGACCCGAGCCGUGCCGUAGCCAACGCGUUAAGUUGUCCGCCUGGGGAGUACGCACGCAAGUGUGAA
rnacentral:rRNA from 1 species